AAAAGAAAGAACAAAAAAAAGAAAGAACAAAAAAAAGAAGGAACAAAAAAAAGAAGGAACAAAAAACAAAAAACAAAAAACAAAAAUCAAAAAACAAAAAUCAAAAAACAAAAAUCAAAAAACAAAAGAACUAAAUAACUAAAGAACAAAAGAAAGAGCAAACAAACAAAAUAAAUAAAUAAAGUAAAAUUAUGUAAACGUAAUGCAGUAAUAGAGCAAAAUCUUACAAUCGAGCAAAACGAAUGAUUAUUAGUCCUAAAAUAAUAAAGCAAUAAAAUCAUAAAUUAGAACAAAGGGAAAAAAAAAAAAAAAAAAAAAUGUUAACUUCGAUAAAAACAUUAUAUCCUAAAUAUAUAUUUUAUAUAUAUAUACUGUAUCUUUUUUUUAAUUUGUUUUUGUUAAAUUAUUUUUUAAUUUAUUUUAUUUCUAUACGUUUUUACAACAAUAAGAGUAUAAAAAAAAAUGAUGUGUACAACAUAGAAACUGUUUUAAAAACGCAGAUAAUAAAAAAUCAACUAGAACAAAAACAAGGAUUACAUAUGUAUGGACAGUUUAGUCAUAUCAUAUGUAUUAUAUAUAUAAUAUUUUCCUUAUCAUUUUACACGUUUGAACUUAUUAAUUGGGUAGGACUUGGCACACUAUCUAGUUUUUGUUUAAUAAGGGGAAAAGGAACAGCAAAAUGUACAGGGAAUAAAAAAAUAUCUGAGAUGGAUAGUACCAGUAGGGUUGACGCGAGUGUUAGCAGCGAAUUUUAUAGCACUAGUGGUGGUAUACAUAAUACCAUUAAUAAUGUUACUACAAAUAAAGUUAUUAGUGAUAGUGCCAAAGACGAUAGUCCAAGCCCAAACGAGACGGACAAAAAAAACAAAAAAAUACAAAUCUCAGUAAAUUACAUUAUUGUGUAUAUAUUUUUAAUUAUGUUAGGGUUAAAACAAUGUGACACGCACGAAUAUAUCUUAUAUUUUUAUUAUAUUUUAAUAAUAUGCGAAAUGAAUACACCUUUAUUAUCAUUUAUGAAUAUAAUAAAAUACAUAAUAAACUAUUAUGAACUUAACUAUUUGAAAAAAAAAUAUGUUUGUGCUGAAAAAAACGUUUUAAGUAGUACUGCUGAAAUCGAAAGAAGUAGCAGCUUUAACAAAAUAGAUGUUUUUUUUUUUGUGUGUAAUUUGAUUAGGUUUAAAUUAUUUAAAAAAACACAUUUAUAUAAUGACCGACAAAACAAUAGCUAUUUUCGGCCUCCAAACAAUAAUCAAACACCAUGGUUUAAAAAAAAAUAUAAAAACAAAAUAAGUACUUUUUUUUUAAAAAUUAAUGUUGUAUUAAAUAGUAUAAAACAUAUUUUGUUAAAAAAUAUAAAAAAAAUUGUUUAUAAUCUAUUUUAUAUGUUCAUCUUAGUUCAAAUGCAAGUUAUUAAUUUUUUUUAUUUAUUAAGAAAAAUAUGCAUAAAAAAUUGCUAUAAAAAUAAGCAUGUAUUAUGUUCAGCUAUACGAAGCACACCACACAGGGGGAAUUUGUGUAGUUUUGAUAACGGGAGUAGUAGUGAUAGUAAUGAUUGUAGUAGUGGUAGUAAUAGUGAUUGCUUACUACUAAAAAAUACAAAUAUUAAUAAAUUAAAGAGAAAUAAAAACGAAGUAACACUAAACGAGAGUAUAACAAACAAAGGCAAUGGUAUAUUAAAUGUAAAAAAAAAGAACUCUUUUAUUUUUAGUCAAGAUAAAACAAUUAGAACAUAUGAAAAUGAUACAACUACUAUAGACAGUGUUAAAAGAAUGAAUAAAAGAGAAUAUAUGCAAAUUAAAAAAAAUACAAAUAAAUAUAAAAAUUUUUAUAAUAUAUUUAUAAAAAAUAAUAUGAA
ensembl:lncRNA